GCUGUCUCCUGAGUGUCUCCGUGCAGGGGGGACACCUGAGGAGGGAAAAAGUCCCUUCUGUAGAGUUGGUUAAGCACAGGGGUUAUGAAGCUCAAAGGAAUUACAGCAGAACAUCUGGAGAAGGUCAACAGGGACAACAGCUUGUACCAGUAUGAGCAUCUCGGGCACUGCUCGUAGGUUUGUGGAUGGGUGCUGAACCAACAGCAUCCUGAAGUGGUGUAAAUCCCAACUCCUCCACGUCCCAGCCCUGCUGGCCACGUUUCCACUUUGCCAUCACCAGUUCCUGCCUUCCCCAAGAAGAUGCCUGAGCUGCUGUUAGACCCUGCUGUGGUCAUUCCUCCUCAGCCAGCUGGGAGGUUCACAGUGGGGAAGAGUCAAGCUUUGACACUGUGGGAUCUUUGCCAGAAGUGCACAGGAGACUGUCAAAUCCCAUGGGACACCGGCUCCAACCUUCCCAACACCUCCAUGGACACGUCUAAAUACAGGCUUGGAUGGAACCACAGGAGAUGAGUGACUGUCCCAGCAGCAGGAGGAGCUCAUAGGCUCGUUUUCUCGGUCAUCCAUGUCUCUGUGCAUCAUAUAUCACGCCUGUGUGUCCAGAGGAAAGAAAGAUCCCCUCCAACCCAGCAGCCCUGUAACGGAUGGACCUUCCCGAUUCGCAGUGAGCUGACAGCUUGUGAGAACAACAGCUUGAAUUACUGAAAGAACUUUUCCCACUGAGUUAAUCUGCAAUGGAUGUAGGUGACCUUCUAAAGGCAUCUAUUAAUCAAAAAACCAGUGCCCAUUCACUGUGCUAGGCUGAGCCCUUUGGGGGAGGGGGAGAUACUAAUUUCCCUCUGAGAUAAAUCAUAAUUUGACAAUAAUCAUCUGCCCUAAUCACUCCGAUUCUUCCCUUUAAUUAUUUGUACACACGGCUCUUCCUGCCUGAGAAACACAAAGGACAACAUUAAAUGUGGAAAUGC